AGAUGGCGACCGGCGCACGGGUGAGUAACACGUAUCCAACCUGCCGAUAACUCGGGGAUAGCCUUUCGAAAGAAAGAUUAAUACCCGAUGGCAUAAUAGAAUCGCAUGGUUUGAUUAUUAAAGAAUUUCGGUUAUCGAUGGGGAUGCGUUCCAUUAGGCAGUUGGUGGGGUAACGGCCCACCAAACCUUCGAUGGAUAGGGGUUCUGAGAGGAAGGUCCCCCACAUUGGAACUGAGACACGGUCCAA
rnacentral:rRNA from 1 species